GACGGAGGGGGCAAGCGUUGUCCGGAAUUACUGGGCGUAAAGCGCGCGUAGGCGGCUUUGCAAGUCAGAGGUGAAAGCCUGGAGCUCAACUCCAGAACUGCCUUUGAAACUGCAUCGCUAGAAUCAUGGAGAGGUUAGUGGAAUUCCGAGUGUAGAGGUGAAAUUCGUAGAUAUUCGGAAGAACACCAGUGGCGAAGGCGACUAACUGGACAUGUAUUGACGCUGAGGUGCGAAAGCGUGGGGAGCAAACAGG
rnacentral:rRNA from 1 species